rnacentral:rRNA from 1 species
UGGUAAUGCCGGAUGCUCCAGUUGAUCGCAUGGUCUUCUGGGAAAGCCUUUGCGGCAUGGGAUGGGGUCGCGUCCUAUCAGCUUGAUGGCGGGGUAACGGCCCACCAUGGCUUCGACGGGUAGCCGGCCUGAGAGGGCGACCGGCCACAUUGGGACUGAGAUACGGCCCAGACUCCUACGGGAGGCAGCAGUGGGGAAUAUUGCACAAUGGGCGCAAGCCUGAUGCAGCGACGCCGCGUGAGGGAUGGAGGCCUUCGGGUUGUAAACCUCUUUUGUUAGGGAGCAAGGCAUUUUGUGUUGAGUGUACCUUUCGAAUAAGCACCGGCUAACUACGUGCCAGCAGCCGCGGUAAUACGUAGGGUGCAAGCGUUAUCCGGAAUUAUUGGGCGUAAAGGGCUCGUAGGCGGUUCGUCGCGUCCGGUGUGAAAGUCCAUCGCUUAACGGUGGAUCCGCGCCGGGUACGGGCGGGCUUGAGUGCGGUAGGGGAGACUGGAAUUCCCGGUGUAACGGUGGAAUGUGUAGAUAUCGGAAAGAACACCA